CGUCUAACCGAGCAUCCCCUUUUUGCCAGCCCGGAAACAGGUAAAAAUCGGGGUUUGCGCGCGACCUUUGACCCCGUGGGAUCGUAGAAACAGGGUGUGCGUAUUGUGCGGAGAAAUUUUCUCACGGGUCAUCGUAACUCGUGCACCCGUCGAAACGACUAUUUAAGAGCCGCUACCGCCUUCCAUCUCCGCAGAAGUAGCCCGCUACCCGAACAGAAGGGCGACAGAGCGUCCUGAAGGAAGGAUUCGCAGCGAUAUCUUCCGGCAAUGGUCUCGAGGACCAGCUCGAAGAUGGGAUCAUCGGAUGGAGACACGCAAAAAGUUUAAACAAUAACGAAAAUCGAAGAAAUGGGUAGACCAAAAUCAGACAGAACAAAAUCUCGUUAGAUUUGAGAAAGAAGAAGGAGGAAAUGAAGAAAGAAAGACGACUACUACUACUGUGAAAAAUAGAAGCAUUAAAGGGCGCGUCAAAGACUCUACGUCCAAGGAUCCAAAGCACGAAACCCCGAUCGUAAAAGUUUCGAGAACCGCGUAGAAAAGUACAAAACGGAUGACGAAGGAAGAAGAGAAAGGGAAAAUUUCACAGUCUGAAAAUAGAAAUGAGAAAUAGUAUCGGUAAACGUUUUUUGCAACACAUUUUCAAACUUACAAAUUUGAGAAUCGUUAUACCGAAAAAAAACGAACAAACCGAAGAACGAAGAGGAGCUUUUGGAACUUUUUCAAACGAAAACAAAAGUCCAAGAAGCAACGACAAUCAAUUGCCAAACAUAGUAUAACAACAAUAAUAUUGGCAUUUCAGUUACAUCGAAAUUCUAAAAUUCUAAAACAAAAUCUCAAUGUUAAUGAAACGGAGAAAUUCACAUAGCAGAUAAAAUAGAAAACAGGUAGCGUUAAAGUUAAAGGAAAAUUCAAAAACGAACAAGCUAUAUUUAAAUUAAAGCCUUCGGAUACCUCGUGAGUUGAAAUUAAGAGUUAUCAGCUGAAACUGCCAAAAAAGAAAAGAACAAAAAAAAAAGAAAAAGAGAAAAAAAAAGAGAAAAAGAAGGGAAAAAGAAAAGAAAAAGAAAGGAAAGAAGAAGAUAAUGGAAAUUGAUUUGUUAUCGUUUACUUUAGUCAAAAUCGCGGUAAAUAGAGUCUGAAAUAGAUUAAUGUUGAAUUCUUAAUUAAAUUCUUCACCUUUUCCGCGCCAUUUUAUAAGCCAGACAGAAUAGACAACGUUCAACUGGAAUCGACUGUAAUAAUAUCUUUUAUUUACUUCCGACUUCCUAAAUGAUAAUAACGAUAGAAAAUAAUUGGAGAGACGAGUAGAGUGAAGAGUUAUGGUUUGUUUUAGUUAACGUUUUACAACGAUCAGUAAGAAAAUUAUUGUUCAGUUUUUAAAUAAUUGUUCUCGUUUUUAGCUCGUUAAAUAAUCGGUUCGUUAAGUUUGUCCCCCGUUUAUUCGUCAGCCAUUGAUUUUCAAACGACGUUACAAAAAUUCCUAGUUCUUUGUUAAAAGAAAUUUAACCGCGUUUCCCUUUGUUCUUGUUAAGUUUGUCGUUCUCUCUUAUUUUCGUUAAUGUUAACAUGCCAGCUGUUGAGUUAAUGUUAAUCACCUAAACUUGAGAAAUCAAAGUUAACGUUUAACCGGGUUGUGUUUUUGUUUUAUAUCCGAAUGAUUGGAAAAGAGAAGGUAUUUUAGGCUGAAAGUAUUCCAUGUUUACGCAUAAGAUAUUAAGAGAUAAAUUGUGCGCAAGAAUGGUCAAUAUUAUCGUACUUUUCGCGUAGAAUGUUCACAAAGUUUAAACGAAGUUUCACGUGGACAUUGCGUUUUCUUUCGACGAUUAGUUAAAAAAAAUCUGUUUUCCCCAUUGUUCGUUGUUUCGUAGAAAACAAAUUUUUUUUACCGUUGAAUUUUCCUACGGACAAAGUUAAUAAUCGGUUGGAAAGAAAACGAGGGAAAUUUGUACAGCGAAAAAGAAAAAAAGAAAAAAAGAGAAAAAGAAAAAAGAAUGAAAGAAUGAAAGAAGGGACGUUUACAUUGUUCACAUUGUUUACAUCGUUUCCUUGUUUAUCCGUAAAUAUUUCUAUUUUUGGUUCUUCACCGCUGUGCCUUAACUUUUACUUUGCAAGUGAUCGGUCACGUUAAUCGCGCGUUCGUGAUACCAUAAAUCUCUGAACGAACGACUCACAAUUAUUCUGGUAUACGAAUAUCGUAUUGCGCGAUACGAUACAUAAAUGAAUUAAUCAUCCGUUUAAUUCGUUUAUUUAUUUGUUUCCGAAUUGUACUUUUUUCAUCGAAUUGUAAUUUUAAGAUUAAGACCCUUGUAUCGAUACUUGUUUAUUUAACUGUAUUACUCGCCGAUCAAUUACCGAACGAUCGAAUGAUAACGGUUCGUUCGUUCGCUCGAUCGUUGAUUAUCCGACUUUCCUACGUGUCGGUUCGUUAAACAAUUCUGUCUUUUAAUUGUAAUCGUGUGUAUUCGAUAAAAUAUUAAUCGAGGAAAAGAAACGUAGCCGGUGAAGCGUUUUAAAUACCCGUUUAUAAAUUCGUGUGCCGAUUAAUCGACAUUGUAAUUAAUACCUUUAGAUAGCGUGUGUGUACGAGUGAAUUUUUUUUACCUCUACCAUUGAUCCAAUUUUUCCAUCUUGAUGUAAUUAUGCCUGUGAACAUUAAUGAACAACGAGAGAAGAAUCGACUAUUAAGCGUGUACGAAUUAAAAGAUACGUGUAAUUAAAUACUCUUUGGCAUUCUGUAAACUAUUUAAUUUAACCUAUGAGCUCUGCAUAAAUAAAAAGCAACUUACUUACAUCGCAUUACGCAAACUA